UUGAUUGCGUCUCUCUAUUUGACGAUUUGAUCCGAUUGGGAUCUCGAAUUUGAGUUUUGAUGAUUUCAAAAUUGGUGAUUUCAAAAUUGGUGAUUGAGCAGCCGAAGCACAUCGGGCACGAUGAAUGGGACGUUGCUAUGGAGAGACGCGACAAGAAAGUCGUCGAGAAAGCUUCAGCUCCUUCAUCGUGAUUCGAUUGCAUUCCCUUUUGUUCAUCAGGGGCUUCAGGUGAACAACUUGUGGUCACAACUCACAAAUAAAGUGUAUUCCAGAAGAAGAAGAAGCUGGGGAAUCUAGUACUGUUAUUCCCGUUUGAUUUUUCUUGGAGACAAGUUCGGAUAAAGCUUUGUUGCUUAAAAACGUUUUUCUGAUCUCGAAUUGAGACCUUAAUGACAUUUGGUUUAUAACUUCUCUGUUUGUUUGGGGUACAUGCUGUUAAGGUGCAUGACAUUUGGUUUACAAUACACUCUUAAUAAUAAUCCUGAAGAAUGGCUCA